UUUAAGCUCCAUAUAUAAAGUAUCUUACUUUUAUUAGAAAU
rnacentral:tRNA from 1 species